AGAGUGAACGCUGGCGGUAGGCCUAACACAUGCAAGUCGAACGGCAGCACAGUGGUAGCAAUACCAUGGGUGGCGAGUGGCGGACGGGUGAGGAAUACAUCGGAAUCUACCUUUUCGUGGGGGAUAACGUAGGGAAACUUACGCUAAUACCGCAUACGCCCUUCGGGGGAAAGCCGGGGAUCGCAAGACCUGGCGCGGAUAGAUGAGCCGAUGUCGGAUUAGCUAGUUGGUGAGGUAAUGGCUCACCAAGGCGACGAUCCGUAGCUGGUCUGAGAGGAUGAUCAGCCACACUGGAACUGAGACACGGUCCAGACUCCGUACGGGAGGCAGCAGGUGGGGAAUAGUUGGACGAAGUGGGCGACGAACGCCUGACUCC
rnacentral:rRNA from 1 species